AGAUAGUCUAUGUGGCUAUUGGCAACCAUACUGAGUAGCCUGGCACAAGGGUAGUGCUUUCAAACUUUUAGGAGGAAAUAUAUGGGCCUGUUACUCCAGAGAACAAUCCCACAGUGAACAUGCAGGAAGCUCAAGGAUGCAGGAUGUGGUCUCGGGGUGGGCUCAGACUUACCAGAGACAUCGAGGCUUUAGCGAGUUCUACUCUUGUCACACAUUGCACCAGCCCUUUUUGAGAUUGAAGAAGAGUGCCAUCUCAAGACAAAUCUAGCUUAUUCUAAGAAAUAUAGACUCUAGGCAUCAAGAAUACUACUGGCUACUAGGAGGCCCAGGAGUGUACACUUCAGUCAUUAUGUUGGGAAAUUGGGGUCCCAGAGUAUCAACUGGUGAGUUCCUAAAAGAAGAAGUGCCCAUGUGGGAUUAAGUAACAUUCUACUGUAUGGCUGUGAGGUGUGCCCUGGAGCCUACCUACCUGUAACUAUAGCUCUCAGAGUACUCUUAGCUCAAUUCUCUUUUCUGUGUGAGUUGGAGUACAAAAGAAGUCACUUCUGAGGUUAGUUUAUCUAUUCCCUUCACUUCAUAAAUGUAUAAAUGAGAACCAGAGUGGGAAAUAAAAUCAAGGAACUGAUUACCCAAGGGAAUAAACCAAGGCAAGUCUAGUACUGUGACUUCAAUAUUCUGACCUCCAGUUCAGACCUUUUUCUUGUACUUCCCGCUGCCUCCCACACAUUACACCAUCCUUGGGCCUGCACCUAGACCUCUGCCCACAGCCACCCCAUACUGCACUCAGUGUGGCCAAUCAUAUGCCUGCCCAUGUUCCAGGGCCUGCCUGAGACUCAGAACCACCCCCUCACUCAUCUUUGAGAGGUGUGCUUUUGAGAGAAGCAAUGGGCAGGCGAGAGUGAGCUAUUAGGUUGGUGCAAACAUAAUUGUGGUUUUAUGGCAAAAACCACAAUUACUUUUGCACCAUGCUAAUACAUGAUCUAUCUUUUCCAUGUGGCUGAUGCUUCCGCCAGGGGUUUUUGAGUUGAGCGAGAGAGAAACUGCAUCUGGUGCAUAGCAGCCUGGUUGGAAGCAUUCUGAGUGCUCUGUCUGCCCUGGUGGGUUUCAUUAUCCUGUCUGUCAAACAGGCCACCUUAAAUCCUGCCUCACUGCAGUGUGAGUUGGACAAAAAUAAUAUACCAACAAGAAGUUAUGUUUCUUACUUUUAUCAUGAUUCACUUUAUACCACGGACUGCUAUACAGCCAAAGCCAGUCUGGCUGGAACUCUCUCUCUGAUGCUGAUUUGCACUCUGCUGGAAUUCUGCCUAGCUGUGCUCACUGCUGUGCUGCGGUGGAAACAGGCUUACUCUGACUUCCCUGGGGUGAGUGUGCUGGCCGGCUUCACUUAACCUUGCCUAGUGUAUCUUAUCCCUGCACUGUGUUGAGUAUGUCACCAAGAGUGGUAGAAGGAACAAUCAGUCAGUCAUGAGAUACACAUGGGAGGGCAUUUGCAUUGUGAUGGAAGACAGAGAAGAAAAGCAGAUGGCAAUUGAGUAGCUGAUAAGCUGAAAAUUCACUGGAUAUGAAAAUAGUUAAUCAUGAGAAAUCAACUGAUUCAAUCUUCCUAUUUUGUCAGCGAAGGGAAUGAGACUCUGGGAAGUUAAAUGACUGGCCUGGCAUUAUGCUAUGAGUUUGUGCCUUUGCUGAGGACACUAGAACCUGGCUUGCCUCCCUUAUAAGCAGAAACAAUUUCUGCCACAACCACUAGUCUCUUUAAUAGUAUUGACUUGGUAAAGGGCAUUUACACACGUAACUGGAUCCAGUGAAUGUCUUAUGCUCUGCAUUUGCCCCUGGUGAUCUUAAAAUUCGUUUGCCUUUUUAAAGCUAUAUUAAAAAUGUAUUGUUGAAUCAAACCCCUAUGGACUUAUGGCUUUAUUUAACUGAAUUAAAAAGCCUUGAUUUAUCCAAAAUUGUAUUAUAGAGUGUAGAAUGAAUACUAGGGUGAUAAAUUGCAAUUAUUUGAAGAACCUGGUGAUAUGCUCUACUUAUCUUGGAUUAGCUAAGAAUUCUAUGUAUACAGUUGGAAAAAUGGCAUAUAUACAUCUAUCUUGAACCUGAUUGAAGUCUGAAGACCUAACAUAUUUUGUUUCUUCUAGAGUGUACUUUUCCUGCCUCACAGUUACAUUGGUAAUUCUGGCAUGUCCUCAAAAAUGACUCAUGACUGUGGAUAUGAAGAACUAUUGACUUCUUAAGAAAAAAGGGAGAAAUAUUAAUCAGAAAGUUGAUUCUUAUGAUAAUAUGGAAAAGUUAACCAUUAUAGAAAAGCAAAGCUUGAGUUUCCUAAAUGUAAGCUUUUAAAGUAAUGAACAUUAAAAAAAACCAUUAUUUCA
rnacentral:lncRNA from 1 species